GGGGGCGCUGUGCCUCGCCCGGAGCCUCACCCAGAGCCUUCUGGGGUGGUGGAUAGGUGAGGACCUCAUCGAGGUUUGAGACUUAAAUACCUCUCUACUAAAAGGGAAAUGGAUAAAAAGAUGCUGACUGCCAGGCUGGUUUCGGAUCCUUUGUAUUCUGUCAGAUGAGAACACUUGUUUACCUUCCAGGACUGACCUGAGCAUGAGUUUCUAAGAGGCAACAUCGUCUCAUGAAAGCAGGCCUAGACCAGAAGUAGGAAAAUCUCUCCUCAUUCAAAGGUCAGCUUGCCAUUUGCCAGCCAUGCUAUCCUCAGCAGCUUCUCCUUCUGCAAAGUUGGGAUAACAAAAAAGUUUCCCUCCUUGCCAACCUCCUCUGGUGACUGGGAUAAGCACACAAGAUGAUGUACAUCAAGACACAACACUCCCAGCAAACAAUGGCAUCCCAGCGGACUCUUGUGGACUGCCUGCCACGUGAUGGCUUUAGCUUCAAUUCUACUGCCGAUUCUGCUAAAGCGAGGGAGGAGUCGCAGACACUAUUGAAAUGAGGCUUUUAAGGCCAGGUGCGGUGGCUCAUGCCUGUAAUCCCAGCACUUUGGGAGGCCGAGGCUGGUGGAUCAUGAGAUCAGGAGAUCGAGACCAUCUUGGCUAACAUGGUGAAACCCCGUCUCUACUAAAAACAUACAAAAAAAAAUUCGCCAUGCAUGGUGGCGGGCGCCUGUAGUCCCAGCUACUCGGGAGGCUGAG
rnacentral:lncRNA from 10 species